AGAAUCAACGCUGGCGGCGUGCCUAACACAUGCAAGUCGAACGAGAAAGUGGAGCAAUCCAUGAGUAAAGUGGCGCACGGGUGAGUAACACGUGACUAACCUACCCUUGAGUGGGGGGAUAACCUAGAGAAAUCUGGGCUAAUACCGCAUAAUACCUUCGGGUCAAAGGAGCAAUUCGCUUAAGGAGGGGGUCGCGGCCGAUUAGUUAGUUGGCGGGGUAAUGGCCCACCAAGACUAUGAUCGGUAUCCGGCCUGAGAGGGCGCACGGACACACUGGAACUGAAACACGGUCCAGACUCCUACGGGAGGCAGCAGUGGGGAAUUUGCGCAAUGGGGGAAACCCUGACGCAGCAACGCCGCGUGGAGGAUGAAGUCCCUUGGGACGUAAACUCCUUUCGAUCGGGACGAUAAUGACGGUACCGAGAGAAGAAGCCCCGGACUAACUUCGCGCCAGCAGCCGC
rnacentral:rRNA from 1 species